GUGAUGGCGGUGUAUCAGCUAAUGAAUUUGUUAGCUGUAUAAUUCAUUUCAUCGAAGGCGAAAUUCACAGAGGUUAUAAAAAGAUUACUCUCAUUUCUGAUGGCUGUACAUACCAAAAUAAAAACAAGAUUCUGUCAAGUGCAUUGGCAGAUAUUUCUAAAUUUAGAUCCAUUGAAAUUGAGCAAAUUAUUUUGGAAAAAUGACACACAAUGAUGGAGGUGGAUAGUGUCCAUUCUACACUUGAAAAGUUGUGCACUCCACCUUUAUACUUGCCAGGCUACUAUAUUAAUCGAAUGCGAAAAACGAGACCAACCCAAUCCUAUACAAUUAAUCAUCUUAAAUACAGUUUUUUCAAAAAUUAUGAGGCUGUUCCAAGCAAUUACAACAAUAUUUGUUCUGGUAAAAAAGCUGGAGAUCCUACAGUGACUGAUAUAAAAAAGACUGUUAUACAAAAACGGUGAUACAAUGCAUAAAUUGCGACAUACGGGAAAUUGGACUCUACUUCCACAAAGAAG
rnacentral:lncRNA from 1 species